ACACGACUACAUUAGAUACCGGGUAGUCCUAGCCGUAAACGAUACUCGCUAGGUGUCGGCCACGGUGCGACCGUUGUCGGUGCCGUAGGGAAGCCGUGAAGCGAGCCACCUGGGAAGUACGGCCGCAAGGCUGAAACUUAAAGGAAUUGGCGGGGGAGCACCACAACGGGUGGAGCUUGCGGUUUAAUUGGAUUCAACGCCGGAAAUCUUACCGGGACCGACAGCAACAUGAAGGCCAGGCUGAAGACUUUGCCGGAUUAGCUG
rnacentral:rRNA from 1 species